CUUCGGCGGGGGGUAUUUGUAACGCUUGGAUCAGCGAGAGAGCUAGUUCGCAGCGCCAUCUAGUGGUCGGCACCGUAAGGGCCGUGGUAGACCAAACACCCUCUAUGGGCUAGGUCGGGGAGAUCACGAAAAGUGGCAUAGGAAGAGUGAUAGAGUUAACAGCUUGGAUUGUCAACUUUCUCUGGCAUUUCACCCUGUCCUUUGAGAGGGCCCGAGGGUUGUAGCUUGUUGAGGGGCUUGGCUUCGGUCUCUUCCCGUUUUGGCGCUCGACCCGAGCGUUCGUUUUCUCUGUCAACAGCCAACAAGUAUUUUUUAUAAGUGCUAAAAAGGGAAAAAAACGUGUAAUCGCGGCGGGAGGAGAAGAGCUUCAGCAUUCCGGCAUUAGUUUUCCAGCCUAGGACCGGCCAUUGGCGCAGUGGAUACCGCAAAGGAGGAACGCCGCAUCGCCGUAUUUUCUUUGCGAAGCGGCCCGGAUCAGCUUCGCGGAUCCAAAGACGCGAGGCGUCGAGGAGAUCGAGCGUCCAAGGGACGCCAGAAGGGGUCCAGAGGAGCAGCCAAAGCAGCGUUGGAAAAAAUUGCAGGCCCAAGUACACGGGCACCGACGCCACGCUAGCGGGAGUUGAGUGGUUUUUGGGGAAGAAGAAAAAAAACUCAAUCGUCUUGUUGAAAAGCGAGCCAAGGCAGGGCUAUAUAGCGCAGCUAGAGCGAAAGCAAGAGCAGUCCGAGAUUUGGCGGGGUUUUUCGAGUGGUCUCGCGAGUGAUUUUUAUCGUCGGGAACCGUCCCAGGGAACGAUGGAGUGAUUUCGGAAGGGAGAAAAUCUAAAACUAAAAGAAACCGGGAAUGGCUGAGAUCUCUAGUAAUAAUAGGAUUCAGUGUUAAGUGAUUAGUGUUAAUAAUUUAAUGAGUUAAGUAAUAUUUCUUUGUUAGUUUUUUUGUGCGUUAAAGUCUGCGACAGUCGGCGAAGGGCAGGCGAAAGAAAAGGAAGAAAAAGAAAGGGCAGAGAGAGCUUUUUUUGUUGUACUCGAGUGGAAUGAGUCGCUCAAAGUGAGAGUGGAGCGAGCAAAGAGUUUAAUUUGUGAGUGAGGUUUUUUUUUCUGUGUGCCUUUGAUUUACUCCCGAUUGGAGUUCACUUUACAGGUCCAAAUCUCCUCCGGGAAGCGCUUCGUCGGUGGAUAUGCGGAUCAUCGGGUGAGUGAGAACGAACAAGAAAAUUUAACCCUGGCAAUUCCACUCAUGAGAGAAAAGGAAAGAGAAAUUUAGAUAAUUACAUAAUUCCCCCUAUUGUUUGUUCCGUUUCUUCCCCCUUUUCGGUCUGGCUGUUGUACUGUCUUUAUACAUGAAUUCCGAGAUAAUUGUUAGUUUUAUUCCUCAUCAUUAUUAAGCAAUUUUAUUGAUAUUAUUUUUUUAUUCUUUUACUUUUUAUGCGUACUUUUUGUUGGGUUAUAUUUGGUUUUAGUUUAGGAAUCGCUCAGUUUUUAGUCAUAAUUCAAUAAAUUUUAUAAUGUUUUAGUUCACAGUUUUUUUUUUUGCCUUCGGCUAGCCAAAUGCCCCUGAGGAUCCCAUAACGACGCAAAGGGGUCAUUCCAUAUAAAUUGCGACCUAGGAAUGGCCAAGGUAGGGAGGGUCAAUCCGCCCUCAACGAGAUCUGAGGCGGGGAAAAGCGUUCGGGGACAGGUCGGAGAAAGGGCCAAUUAUGUGUUCAAGCAAUUUUAGGUCCACCUUAACUCUCGUCGUAACACGCAUAAAUUUUAACUUGUUAAUAAUGAGGAUAGGCAUCCGGUGAGAGGAGGGCAAGAUCACCACCCCAAUUAGCCGACGAGCAUCCCAGCCGGGAAUAACCGCGUGCGCCCUUCUCCCACUCCCCAACACCCAGCCUGGUU